rnacentral:rRNA from 1 species
GAUGAACGCUGGCGGCGUGCCUAAUACAUGUAAGUCGAGCGAAUGGAUUAAGAGCUUGCUCUUAUGAAGUUAGCGGCGGACGGGUGAGUAACACGUGGGUAACCUGCCCAUAAGACUGGGAUAACUCCGGGAAACCGGGGCUAAUACCGGAUAACAUUUUGAACCGCAUGGUUCGAAAUUGAAAGGCGGCUUCGGCUGUCACUUAUGGAUGGACCCGCGUCGCAUUAGCUAGUUGGUGAGGUAACGGCUCACCAAGGCAACGAUGCGUAGCCGACCUGGCAGGGUGAUCGGCCACACUGGGACUGAGACACGGCCCAGACUCCUACGGGAGGCAGCAGUAGGGAAUCUUCCGCAAUGGACGAAAGUCUGACGGAGCAACGCCGCGUGAGUGAUGAAGGCUUUCGGGUCGUAAAACUCUGUUGUUAGGGAAGAACAAGUGCUAGUUGAAUAAGCUGACACCUUGACGGUACCUAACCAGAAAGCCACGGCUAACUACGUGCCAGCCGCCGCAGUAA